CCGAAACUGCAAUUCAAAGUUAACGUUGUUAUGUUAAGCCUAUGUUUUGUUAAUGUUAAUUAACAUUCUUCCAUUCGGAUUCACAGGGCGACCAGGCUGCCACGUUUUAUGCCAGAUUAUAAACAAAAUGGUUAGACCCGCCUUUUCACUUUUUAACAAAUUUUAUUUUAAAUGCAAAAUCAAAUGUGAGCUUAGAUUACUGCUAAAUUUACGAUUAAAAACAUAUUGUAUACAAAGUAAAUAUAAUAGCAAUUAAAACCACAUCGAAA